rnacentral:rRNA from 1 species
AUUGAACGCUGGCGGCAGGCCUAACACAUGCAAGUCGAGCGAGUGGCGGACGGGUGAGUAAUGUCUGGGGACCUGCCUGAUGGAGGGGGAUAACUACUGGAAACGGUGGCUAAUACCGCAUACCAUCGGAUGUGCCCAGAUGGGAUUAGCUAGUUGGUGGGGUAACGGCUCACCUAGGCGACGAUCCCUAGCUGGUCUGAGAGGAUGAUCAGCCACACUGGGACUGAGACACGGCCCAGACUCCUACGGGAGGCAGCAGUGGGGAAUAUUGCACAAUGGGCGCAAGCCUGAUGCAGCCAUGCCGCGUGUAUGAAGAAGGCUUUCGGGUUGUAAAGUACUUUCAGCGGGGAGGCGUUACUCGCAGAAGAAGCACCGGCUAACUCCGUGCCAGCAGCCGCGGUAAUAC